rnacentral:rRNA from 1 species
AGGGUUUGAUUAUGGCUCAGGACGAACGCUGGCGGCGCGCCUAACACAUGCAAGUCGAACGAGAGAGAGGGAGCUUGCUUCCUCGAUCGAGUGGCGAACGGGUGAGUAACGCGUGAGGAACCUGCCUCAAAGAGGGGGACAACAGUUGGAAACGACUGCUAAUACCGCAUAAGCCCACGACCUGGCAUCGGGUUGAGGGAAAAGGAGCAAUCCGCUUUGAGAUGGCCUCGCGUCCGAUUAGCUAGUUGGUGAGGUAACGGCCCACCAAGGCAACGAUCGGUAGCCGGACUGAGAGGUUGAACGGCCACAUUGGGACUGAGACACGGCCCAG